rnacentral:rRNA from 1 species
AACCUUUACAAUGUACGGAAGUGCGAUAAGGGAACUCCCAGUGCUCAUGCAUUGCAUGGGCUUUUGCCAUGUGUAAAUAGCUUGGCGAAUAAGUGGUGGGUAAGACGGGUGCCAGCCGCCGCGGUAACACCUGCGCCACGAGUGGCAAUCGCGUUUAUUGGGCCUAAAGCGUUCGUAGCCGGAUAGGUAAGUCUUGGGUGAAAUCGUUACGCUUAACAAAACGGCGUGCUUGAGAUACUACCUGUCUAGAGACCGGGAGGAGUUAGGGGUAUUCCUGAGGGAGCGGUAAAAUGCAAUAAUCUCAGGAGGACCACCUGUGGCGAAGGCGCCUAACUAGAACGGGUCUGACGGUGAGGAACGAAAGCUAGGGGAGCAAACCGG